GCCAAGAGGCAGACCACAGGCCCUCUUGAGGAGGCUUCUAUGUUCAAGUGCAGAAAGGGCCUAAUCUGGUGGAUGAACCACUAGACCAGCUUCUAGUGCCACAUCUUUUGUCACUUCCUGAUGUGCCCCACCAGCACUGAAGAGACAGCCUGGAGGCAGGGCAAGAGGAAGGCUGAGAAGGAUGAGACGGUGAGUGCCAGAUUCUCCCUGGCCCUGAGCCCACCCCCAGGGUGACACUCAAACUUUAGGAGUGGGAGAGCAAGGUUGACGGCUUCAAGUGCUUCACUAAGAAGAUGGACAACAGGGCACUCACCUCAACUUCACAGCCAAUGAGUUGACAUGCAAGCAGGUGAUGGUGACAGGCUUUAAGAAAGAGCAUCAGAAAGCUGCCAGUUCUUCAGCCUCAGCCAGGCCUUGGAGCUGGACCAGGCCAUCCACUUCACCACAGAUGCCUUCAACACUGUCAGUGAGCUCUUUGCCAAUCAGCCCAGGCAGGACCUGGACCCAGUCAUGGACCUGUUAGUGCUGUCUCAGGGACACCAGACCAACAUCCUGAACAUCAUCCACAUACACA
rnacentral:lncRNA from 1 species